CAUUUAUGUAAGUCACAGGAGUAGCGCUUAUUCAAGAGCUGCCAGGAUGUUGGACUGUCUGCCAACAAUGAAUGGAGCUACUGUAAACACCCACAUGCAGACUUUUGAGCGAAUAUAGCUUCCAACUCCUUUGGAAGCAUGUGAGGAUCCUUCUUACUGAAAGAACCAGCCUGAACUUUGGAAAAGGACUAGACUGAUUCUGAAGAAGAAGACAAAAAGAAUUCAGUGGCAAUCCAUAAGAUGGAUCAGCUACACAUCUUUCUAAUAAACAUGCAGGACUGG
rnacentral:lncRNA from 1 species